GCGGCCUUGGCGAAAUGGUAAACGCAGCGGGCUUAAAACCCGCUCCUCGCAAGGGGUUGAGGGUUCAAGUCCCUCAGGCCGCACCA
rnacentral:tRNA from 1 species